rnacentral:lncRNA from 1 species
GAAAAUGGAGGUAAACCAAAUCAAAUUCAUUAGAUAAAGCCAACCCAUAAUAGGUGAUUACAUCAAAGCAACAGAAAUUAAAAACUGAAUAAAUAAAAAAAAACACAAAAAUUACACAGAGAAAACCAAAAGUACAAAAAAAAUAAUCAAAGUCAAUCACCCAGUCCACCGUCCUGCAUAUGGGUAUCAAAGUCAAUCUCAUCUGUCGGAUCCAACAUAGUGUGCCCUCGUGCGAAGGCAGAGAUAGGCGUCAACGUCUCUGUGUGGCCCGACGGAGUAUGCUGCUGCUGAGGUGGUGUCUGGUGCGGUGGCUGCUGCGGUGGCUGCUGCGGAAUCUCUCCCCCUAUCUGAACUGGCUGGUUCCACCAAGG